rnacentral:rRNA from 1 species
UUGGGUCUAAAGCGUCCGUAGCCGGUUUGGUAAAUUUCUUGUGAAAUUGUUCAGCUUAACUGAACGGCGUGCAAGAAAGACUGCCGAACUUGAGACCGGGAGAAGAUGAAGGUAUUUUGAGGGGAGCGGUAAAAUGCAAUAAUCCUCAGAGGACCACCAAUGGCGAAGGCAUUUGUCUAGAACGGGUCUGACGGUCAGGGACGAAAGCUAGGGGAGCAAAACGGAUUAGAUACCCGAGUAGUCCUAGCUGUAAACGCUGCGAGCUAGGUAGUGCAUAUUCUUCGAGGAUAUGCAGCGCCUAAGCGAAGGUGUUAAGCUCGCCGCCUGGGAAGUAUAGUCGCAAGACCGAAACUUAAAGGAAUUGGCGGGGGAGCA